rnacentral:rRNA from 1 species
CCGUGAAGCUGGAUUCGCUAGUAAUCGCGCAUCAGCCAUGGCGCGGUGAAUACGUUCCCGGGCCUUGUACACACCGCCCGUCAAGCCAUGGGAGCCGGGGGUGCUUGAAGUGCGUCGCCGCAAGGCGCGCCCUAGAGCAAAACCGGUGACUGGGGCUAAGUCGUAACAAGGUACC